AUACAUACACUUUGGUUGCUGCAAAUGAUGUUCUGCUAGAUUCCCAAGUUAUGAAGUACAACCCCAUGGAUUGAACUUGAUAGAGGGGAUUGUUCUUCUUUGUGGCUAUUCUUACAACUUUGUUUCUGGUACUGCAUUAAUAAAGAAAGUCUCUAAAACAGCAAAAACCCUUGAAGCAGUUUGAUAUGUUCUUUGAAUAGAGAAUGUUUCUCCUAAAAGGAAACUAGAUCCAGUUCAUGUUGGCCUUCUUGACAUUCUUAUCACAAUCAGGGUUCGUAAGGGCUGAUUUUAGCAUGCCUACUAAAAUAAAACACUGAGGCAUUUGUUCAAACAAAUAUAUUUGACCCUUCAACCAAAGGAACCAUAAAACUACUCAAGUCCUGUUUGAAAUCCAAUUCUGUGAAAAG